UGACUUCCCGAAUAGAGGGAGACAGUGACUCGGGCCGACAAGGCUACAACGGAGGGAGGGCGAGGAGGCGGGCCUGAGGCCCCUCGGCCAAUCGGAGGGGCUGGGGCGGGGCCUGGGGGGGGCCCUGCUGCGCGGCGGAGCCCUAGAGGUACAGCGCGGGAAGGCGGCCUCGUCUAGUGUGCGGAGCGUUCCCAGCCCAGCUAUCUGCUUGUCGCGCGUCUUCAGGCUUUCGGGUGAGGACAGGCGGCGCCGCCCGAGCCAGAGGACUGUGGGGACGGGAGGGCGCGGCGGCCGCGGGGCGGGGGUGUCGCGCCUUCAGGAACUGGAAGGGCCGGGUGGGGACUGGCGUUUCGUAGAGGCGCCUCCUGGCCAGUCGGCGCCUUUGUCUGCCGGGGCGCCGCCUUCUGCGCGCCACGCCGGGGCUCCCGGGUCGGUCCCCGGAAGGCCCGAGGGCGCGGCCCCCGGAGCGGCCCGUCGGCGGUGGCUGCUGGUCUGAGGCUGCGAGGAUGGGGAGUGGGGCAGCCGCCCGGAGUGGGCCCUCUGGGGCUGCCCUGCGCGCUCUCCCCCUGGGCCGAUAGGUUAAGCUGCGCGCCGGUCAACGAUGAUGCUUAUUUUACAACGUUGAGAAAACCGGCCUCUGCACCCAACCGUGUUAUUGUUUAUUAGUCCCGGUUUCCCCACCUCUGGAGGUCGGCGUCCGAUCUCUUGUCAGAGGAGGGUUUUAGGGUGACCUCGACGGAAGGGGAGCAUAUUGGGGACUUCUGGCUGCUUUAGGGGGCCUCUGUUUUACUCUGAGCGCUAGAAGUGUCUUAGCCCGCCAGGGUGGGGCCAGGCGCGCGCGUGAGAGCCCUGCUUUCCAAUCUCUUGGGUCUCCCAUUGGCUCCUCUGGACAAACCUCGUCUUCUAGCCUCUCCCUUUGCAGAGAAAACUUGGUGAAAUAAAACUCAACUCUUUGGUUUACCCCUUUCUGCUGACGUCCUUGGUCUGAUGCUAAUUAGCUGUGCCAUUUUAACAGCGUUUACAAACCUUCUUUGAUUCAAGAUGAGUGAUAAGCCAGAUUUGUCUGAAGUGGAGAAGUUUGACAGAUCAAAACUGAAGAAAACUAAUACUGAAGAAAAAAAUACUCUUCCUUCAAAGGAAACUAUCCAACAGGAGAAAGAGUGUGUUCAAACAUCGUAAAAUGGGGAUUUCCUCCCAAGAUCAAAUUUCAACACUGCCUGAGUGUCUUGGAUUUGGGCUCGUUUUUUUUUUGUAAACCUUUGUGUUGUAGAGAUUUUAGGCAUCUUCUGAUGUCUUCUCACCCAUGCUCCCUGGCUAAGAGGUCAGGGGUAGCCAAUUUUCCCUUAUGUUCAUUUUUAAAGUUUUCAUUGGUGCGUAAGUUCCAGCUGGCAGAUGCUGUCAAUAAUCUCACCAUCGAUGAGCUUUGUUUGUGUAGUCCAUGCACCCCCUACAGGAUAAACCACUUUUAAUCUUCUACAAUGAGCGUCUCCAUUGCUCCAUAAUCUUCAUGAAGUUGCAUGCGUUUGCAGCUUCUCACAGUUUAUUUUCAUUUCUAAUGUAGUGAUAAAAUAAUAAAUAUAAUCAUUACGUUGAGACUCCUGUGGUCCAUUCUUGGUGGUCUUCUAAGGAAUGAAAGUAUACAAGGGAUCUCUUUUCAGCCAAACAAAACGGUUGCAGGAAAGCCACUUUAGCAGAUUAGUCACAGGGGAAAGGCUCCCCUCUGUUCAGGUCCAUUGGGUUCUGACUU
rnacentral:lncRNA from 1 species